UACGUAGGGGGCUAGCGUUGUCCGGAAUCAUUGGGCGUAAAGCGCGUGUAGGCGGUCCGGUAAGUCCGCUGUGAAAGUCGGGGGCUCAACCCUCGGAUGCCGGUGGAUACUGUCGGACUAGAGUCCGGAAGAGGCAAGUGGAAUUCCCGGUGUAGCGGUGAAAUGCGCAGAUAUCGGGAGGAACACCAAUUGCGAAGGCAGCUUGCUGGGACGGUACUGACGCUGAGGCGCGAAAGCGUGGGGAGCAAACAGG
rnacentral:rRNA from 1 species